GACGAACGCUGGCGGCGUGCCUAACACAUGCAAGUCGAGCGGGGAGUUAAGUGGAAGUUCUUCGGAAUGGUGAUUUAAAUUCUAGCGGCGGACGGGUGAGUAACGCGUGAACAAUCUGUCCCGGACAGGGGGAUAACACUUGGAAACAGGUGCUAAUACCGCAUAAGACCACGGCCUCGCAUGGGGCUGAGGUAAAAGGAGCAAUCCGGUUCGGGGUGAGUUCGCGUCCGAUUAGCUAGUUGGUGAGGUAACGGCCCACCAAGGCGACGAUCGGUAGCCGGCCUGAGAGGGUGAACGGCCACAUUGGAACUGAGAGACGGUCCAAGCUCCUACGGGAGGCAGCAGUGGAGAAUAAUGGGCAAUGGGCGAAAGACUGACCCAGCAACGCCGCGUGAGGGAAGAAGGUUUUCGGAUUGUAAAACUCUGUCCUAUGGGACGAAGGAAGUGACGGUACCAUAGGAGGAAGCCCCGGCUAACUACGUG
rnacentral:rRNA from 1 species